rnacentral:rRNA from 1 species
UCCUGGCUUAGGACGAACGCUGGCGGCGUGCCUAAUACAUGCAAGUCGAACGGUCUUUCUAUGGAAGCUUGCUUCCACUGAGAAGAUAGUGGCGAACGGGUGAGUAACACGUGGGUAACCUGCCCAUAAGAGGGGGAUAACAUCCGGAAACGGGUGCUAAUACCGCAUAGUUUCUUGAUCGCAUGAUCGGGAAAGGAAAGACGGCCUUUGUGCUGUCGCUUAUGGAUGGACCCGCGGCGUAUUAGUUAGUUGGUGAGGUAACGGCUCACCAAGACGAUGAUACGUAGCCGACCUGAGAGGGUGAUCGGCCACAUUGGGACUGAGACACGGCCCAAACUCCUACGGGAGGCAGCAGUAGGGAAUCUUCCGCAAUGGACGAAAGUCUGACGGAGCAACGCCGCGUGAGUGAAGAAAAGGUUUUCGGAUCGUAAAACUCUGUUGUCAGAGAAGGACAAGUUGGAGAGUAACUGCUCCAGCCUUGACGGUAUCUGACCAGAAAGCCACGGCUAACUACGUGCCAGCAGCCGC